rnacentral:rRNA from 1 species
UACGUAGGGGGCUAGCGUUGUUCGGAAUCACUGGGCGUAAAGCGCACGUAGGCGGAUUGUUAAGUCGGGGGUGAAAUCCUGAGGCUCAACCUCAGAACUGCCUUCGAUACUGGCAAUCUCGAGUCCGGAAGAGGUUGGUGGAACAGCUAGUGUAGAGGUGAAAUUCGUAGAGAUUAGCUAGAACACCAGUGGCGAAGGCGGCCAACUGGUCCGGUACUGACGCUGAGGUGCGAAAGCGUGGGGAGCAAACAGG